AACGAACGCUGGCGGCAGGCCUAACACAUGCAAGUCGAGCGCGCCCUUCGGGGUGAGCGGCGGACGGGUGAGUAACGCGUGGGAACGUGCCCUUUUCUACGGAAUAGCCUCGGGAAACUGAGAGUAAUACCGUAUACGCCCUUUGGGGGAAAGAUUUAUCGGAAAAGGAUCGGCCCGCGUUGGAUUAGGUAGUUGGUGGGGUAAUGGCCUACCAAGCCGACGAUCCAUAGCUGGUUUGAGAGGAUGAUCAGCCACACUGGGACUGAGACACGGCCCAGACUCCUACGGGAGGCAGCAGUGGGGAAUCUUAGACAAUGGGGGCAACCUUGAUCUAGCCAUGCCGCGUGAGUGAUGAAGGCCUUAGGGUUGUAAAGCUCUUUCAGCUGGGAAGAUAAUGACGGUACCAGCAGAAGAAGCCCCGGCUAACUCCGUG
rnacentral:rRNA from 1 species